rnacentral:lncRNA from 1 species
CCCCUUGAGGUGGGUCUCCCAGGCUUGUACGGCAACAGGUGGCGGGGUGAGUGGAAGGCGUUUUAUAUAGGAUGCAUUAGGCGGCUCUCUAUCUUCUGGCCCUGCUGUCUGCAGUGGGGCCUAGUAUAGUUGUACCGCGAUGUAUUACUGUACCGUUUCCGAAAAAGUAGGGACCUGAUUGGCUACCAGCUUGUCAGUUCACUUCGGAACGCGUGGAGCUGUUGUGGAGCUUGAUGAUUUUGUUCGCGCUUGCCGUUUGAGUGAUUUACUUCAUUCACCACAACCGCAACAGUUCCUCUGCGCCGCACUGCAUCGCUCGUCCAAACGGCGCCAUCAGAUCUACUCCAGUAGAUCGAGAUCUCUUGACAGGUCCGCGCUCUGAGCCGUGAAGCUAUGAUCUGUCGCGGUUGGUGAACAACUGUCAACGGCCAGUUGAGACCGACAUGCUGUGAACCCCCACGCUGUCGGAAUGGCGCCCGUGGACAGUGAAGCCGUCCGGCUAGUCGGAGUCCUUCCCAUUGUGCUGGCCACGAUGCCUAAUUUGGCGCAGCUGGUCUUAAUCCUCCUGGAGUCGGCCGCCAUGAGCAUGGAAACCGCGGCGCCGCAACUGGAUCAACCAAUGUCAACCCCCCCCCGGAAAGGCCCCCGGAAACGC